rnacentral:rRNA from 1 species
UAGGGAAUCUUCCACAAUGGGCGAAAGCCUGAUGGAGCAACGCCGCGUGUGUGAUGAAGGCUUUAGGGUCGUAAAGCACUGUUGUAUGGGAAGAAAUGCUAGAAUAGGGAAUGAUUCUAGUUCGACGGUACCAUACCAGAAAGGGACGGCUAAAUACGUGCCAGCAGCCGCGGUAAUACGUAUGUCCCGAGCGUUAUCCGGAUUUAUUGGGCGUAAAGCGAGCGCAGACGGUUGAUUAAGUCUGAUGUGAAAGCCCGGAGCUCAACUCCGGAAUGGCAUUGGAAACUGGUUAACUUGAGUGUUGUAGAGGUAAGUGGAACUCCAUGUGUAGCGGUGGAAUGCGUAGAUAUAUGGAAGAACACCAGUGGCGAAGGCGGCUUACUGGACAACAACUGACGUUGAGGCUCGAAAGUGUGGGUAGCAAACAGGAUUAGAUACCCUGGUAGUCCACACCGUNNNGAUGAAUACUAGGUGUUAGGAGGUUUCCGCCUCUUAGUGCCGAAGCUAACGCAUUAANUAUUCCNNCUGGGGAGUACNACCGCAAGGUUG